GCUUAGAGAGGGGUCAAUGUCCUAUCAGCUAGUUGGUAGGUAAUGGCUUACCAAGGCUAAGACGGGUAGCCGGCCUGAGAGGGUGGUCGGCCACACUGGGACUGAGACACUGCCCAGACUCCUACGGGAGGCUGCAGUCGAGAAUCUUUCGCAAUGCCCGAAAGGGUGACGAAGCGACGCCGCGUGUGGGAAGAAGGCCUUCGGGUUGUAAACCACUGUCGGGAGUUAAGAAAUGUAAGGGUGUUAAUAGCAUCCUUACUUGACUAAGGCUCCGGAGGGAGCCACGGCUAACUCUGUGCCAGCAGCCGCGGUAAUACAGAGGCGGCAAGCGUUGUUCGGAAUUAUUGGGCGUAAAGAGCACGUAGGCGGCUUUGUAAGUCAGUUGUGAAAGCCUUCCGCUUAACGGAAGAACAGCAUCUGAUACUGCAAGGCUAGAGUGCGGAAGGG
rnacentral:rRNA from 1 species